rnacentral:rRNA from 1 species
AUUGAACGCUGGCGGCAGGCUUAACACAUGCAAGUCGAGCGGGGGAAGGUAGCUUGCUACUGGACCUAGCGGCGGACGGGUGAGUAAUGCUUAGGAAUCUGCCUAUUAGUGGGGGACAACAUCUCGAAAGGGAUGCUAAUACCGCAUACGUCCUACGGGAGAAAGCAGGGGAUCUUCGGACCUUGCGCUAAUAGAUGAGCCUAAGUCGGAUUAGCUAGUUGGUGGGGUAAAGGCCUACCAAGGCGACGAUCUGUAGCGGGUCUGAGAGGAUGAUCCGCCAAACUGGGACUGGGACACGGCCCAGACUCCUACGGGAGGCAGCAGUGGGGAAUAUUGGACAAUGGGGGGAACCCUGAUCUAGCCAUGCCGCGUGUGUGAAGAAGGCCUUAUGGUUGUAAAGCACUUUAAGCGAGGAGGAGGCUACUCUAGUUAAUACCUAGGGAUAGUGGACGUUACUCGCAGAAUAAGCACCGGCUAACUCUGUGCCAGCCGCCGCCGUAA